rnacentral:rRNA from 1 species
UACGAAGGGGGCUAGCGUUGCUCGGAAUCACUGGGCGUAAAGGGUGCGUAGGCGGGCCUUUAAGUCAGGGGUGAAAUCCCAGAGCUCAACUCUGGAACUGCCUUUGAUACUGGGUAUCUUGAGUAUGGAAGAGGUAAGUGGAAUUCCGAGUGUAGAGGUGAAAUUCGUAGAUAUUCGGAGGAACACCAGUGGCGAAGGCGGCUUACUGGUCCAUUACUGACGCUGAGGUGCGAAAGCGUGGGGAGCAAACAGG